CGCGCUGGCCCCCUUCCGCUUUUAGGGCAUGUUACGAUUUAGUACCAUUUCUUUUUUUUUUAAAUUUCUUCCUGUGAUUUUAUUUUUAUUUCAUUUAAGUCCCUUACAGAAUGGCGCGAUUAGAGGGCCUGGGAUAAUUUCCCAGUUGGUCCCCUUCUUUUGCAAGCAUUCUAUUUGGGUCCCUAUUCGCCUAUUUUAUUUUAACUUAUUACGAUUUAUGCCCUUAAUUUUAUUUUGAUUUCAAUUUAAACCUAAUUUGUUUAGUUUCAUCAUUUAUUUAUUAUUAUUG
rnacentral:lncRNA from 1 species